UAGGGAAUCUUCGGCAAUGGACGAAAGUCUGACCGAGCAACGCCGCGUGAGUGAAGAAGGUUUUCGGAUCGUAAAACUCUGUUGUUAGAGAAGAACAAGGACGUUAGUAACUGAACGUCCCCUGACGGUAUCUAACCAGAAAGCCACGGCUAACUACGUGCCAGCAGCCGCGGUAAUACGUAGGUGGCAAGCGUUGUCCGGAUUUAUUGGGCGUAAAGCGAGCGCAGGCGGUUUCUUAAGUCUGAUGUGAAAGCCCCCGGCUCAACCGGGGAGGGUCAUUGGAAACUGGGAGAGUUGAGGGCAGAAGAGGAGAGUGGAAUUCCAUGUGUAGCGGUGAAAUGCGUAGAUAUAUGGAGGAACACCAGUGGCGAAGGCGGCUAUCUGGUCUGUAACUGAAGCUGAGGCUCGAAAGCGUGGGGAGCAAACAGG
rnacentral:rRNA from 1 species